UAGCGAAGGGGGCUAGCGUUGUUCGGAAUCACUGGGCGUAAAGCGCACGUAGGCGGAUGUGCCAGUCAGGGGUGAAAUCCCGGAGCUCAACUCCGGAGCUGCCUCUGAUACAGCACGUCUUGAGUUCGAGAGAGGUGGGUGGAAUUCCUAGUGUAGAGGUGAAAUUCGUAGAUAUUAGGAAGAACACCGGUGGCGAAGGCGGCCCACUGGCUCGAGUACU
rnacentral:rRNA from 1 species